AUCACAUCCUGGGGCUGAAGUAGGUCCCAAGGGUAUGGCUGUUCGCCAUUUAAAGUGGUACGCGAGCUGGGUUUAGAACGUCGUGAGACAGUUCGGUCCCUAUCUGCCGUGGGCGCUGGAGAAUUGAGGGGGGCUGCUCCUAGUACGAGAGGACCGGAGUGGACGCAUCACUGGUGUUCGGGUUGUCAUGCCAAUGGCAUUGCCCGGUAGCUAAAUGCGGAAGAGAUAAGUGCUGAAAGCAUCUAAGCACGAAACUUGCCCCGAGAUGAGUUCUCCCUGACUCUUAAAGAGUCCUGAAGGAACGUUGAAGACGACGACGUUGAUAGGCCGGGUGUGUAAGCGCAGCGAUGCGUUGAGCUAACCGGUACUAAUGAACCGUGAGGCUUAACCUUACAACGCCGAAG
rnacentral:rRNA from 1 species